GACGAACGCUGGCGGCGUGCCUAACACAUGCAAGUCGAACGGAAAGGCCCUGCUUUUGUGGGGUGCUCGAGUGGCGAACGGGUGAGUAACACGUGAGUAACCUGCCCUUGACUUUGGGAUAACUUCAGGAAACUGGGGCUAAUACCGGAUAGGAGCUCCUGCUGCAUGGUGGGGGUUGGAAAGUUUCGGCGGUUGGGGAUGGACUCGCGGCUUAUCAGCUUGUUGGUGGGGUAGUGGCUUACCAAGGCUUUGACGGGUAGCCGGCCUGAGAGGGUGACCGGCCACAUUGGGACUGAGAUACGGCCCAGACUCCUACGGGAGGCAGCAGUGGGGAAUAUUGCACAAUGGGCGGAAGCCUGAUGCAGCAACGCCGCGUGCGGGAUGACGGCCUUCGGGUUGUAAACCGCUUUCGCCUGUGACGAAGCGUGAGUGACGGUAAUGGGUAAAGAAGCACCGGCUAACUACGUGCCAGCAGCCGCGGUGAUACGUAGGGUGCGAGCGUUGUCCGGAUUUAUUGGGCGUAAAGGGCUCGUAGGUGGUUGAUCGCGUCGGAAGUGUAAUCUUGGGGCUUAACCCUGAGCGUGCUUUCGAUACGGGUUGACUUGAGGAAGGUAGGGGAGAAUGGAAUUCCUGGUGGAGCGGUGGAAUGCGCAGAUAUCAGGAGGAACACCAGUGGCGAAGGCGGUUCUCUGGGCCUUUCCUGACGCUGAGGAGCGAAAGCGUGGGGAGCGAACAGGCUUAGAUACCCUGGUAGUCCACGCUGUAAACGGUGGGUACUAGGUGUGGGGUCCAUUCCACGGGUUCCGUGCCGUAGCUAACGCUUUAAGUACCCCGCCUGGGGAGUACGGCCGCAAGGCUAAAACUCAAAGGAAUUGACGGGGCCCCGCACAAGCGGCGGAGCAUGCGGAUUAAUUCGAUGCAACGCGUAGAACCUUACCUGGGUUUGACAUGGAUCGGGAGCGCUCAGAGAUGGGUGUGCCUCUUUUGGGGUCGGUUCACAGGUGGUGCAUGGCUGUCGUCAGCUCGUGUCGUGAGAUGUUGGGUUAAGUCCCGCAACGAGCGCAACCCUUGUUCACUGUUGCCAGCACGUUAUGGUGGGGACUCAGUGGAGACCGCCGGGGUCAACUCGGAGGAAGGUGGGGAUGACGUCAAGUCAUCAUGCCCCUUAUGUCCAGGGCUUCACGCAUGCUACAAUGGCUGGUACAGAGAGUGGCGAGCCUGUGAGGGUGAGCGAAUCUCGGAAAGCCGGUCUCAGUUCGGAUUGGGGUCUGCAACUCGACCUCAUGAAGUCGGAGUCGCUAGUAAUCGCAGAUCAGCAACGCUGCGGUGAAUACGUUCCCGGGGCU
rnacentral:rRNA from 1 species